ensembl:processed_transcript
CCGUGAUGACAUCACUGCUGACGCGUUCAUUCAGCGUCGAGUCUUCAGGGCUGAGAUGUGAAGGUGAAGGAGGAGAGCGAAGAACUGAGUGAAGAUGAGGAGAAACAUCAUGUCAAAACUGAAAUCGAAGCUCAGACAAAGACAGAAGAUAGUUUUGUAAUGGAAAGAACAGCUGUGAAAUGUUUCACCUGCACUGAGUGUGGAAAGAAUUUCAGCCACGCAUACAGUCUCGAGUGUCACAUGAGGAUCCACACUGGAGAGAAACCUUACAAGUGUUCAUAUUGCGAGAAGAGCUUCAAUUGGUCAGGAAACCUGAAUAUUCAUGAGAGGAUCCACACUGGAGAGAA